rnacentral:lncRNA from 1 species
AACUUUUCAAAAAAAAAAAAAAAAAAACUUUAAAUAUAGUACCAUAUAAUUUAAAGUGUAUCAAGUUAAUAUCCUGUGGCUUUAUUUUUAUUUUUUUGUCAGUUUUUUUGUUAAUAUUUUGUUAAAUUGUAUAAAAAAAACUUCAGAUACCCGACCUAGCUCUAUUGAAUAUCCACUUUAGUAACUUUUAGUUUUAACUUUAUUACUGAUUUAACGAAAAAAAUUAGUGAAAUUGAUAAUAAAAAAAUAAAAAUUAAAUCAUAUGGAACUAAAUUGAUAUAUUUUAAAUCAGAAGGUAAUAAAGUGAAAAAGUAUGAAACCAUAAGAAUAAUAUUUGAAAUUUUUUUUUAAAAAAAAA